CCUACGGGGGGCAGCAGUGGGGAAUAUUGGACAAUGGGGGGAACCCUGAUCCAGCCAUGCCGCGUGUGUGAAGAAGGCCCUCGGGUUGUAAAGCACUUUCAGUGGGGAAGAACGCCUGGUGGUUAAUACCCAUCAGGAAAGACAUCACUCACAGAAGAAGCACCGGCUAACUCCGUGCCAGCAGCCGCGGUAAUACGGAGGGUGCGAGCGUUAAUCGGAAUUACUGGGCGUAAAGCGCGCGUAGGUGGCUUGAUAAGCCGGUUGUGAAAGCCCCGGGCUCAACCUGGGAACGGCAUCCGGAACUGUCCAGCUAGAGUGCAGGAGAGGAAGGUAGAAUUCCCGGUGUAGCGGUGAAAUGCGUAGAGAUCGGGAGGAAUACCAGUGGCGAAGGCGGCCUUCUGGACUGACACUGACACUGAGGUGCGAAAGCGUGGGUAGCAAACAGGAUUAGAUACCCUUGUAGUC
rnacentral:rRNA from 1 species